AUUGAACGCUGGCGGCAUGCCUUACACAUGCAAGUCGAACGGCAGCGCGGGGCAACCUGGCGGCGAGUGGCGAACGGGUGAGUAAUAUAUCGGAACGUACCCUGGAGUGGGGAGUAACGUAGCGAAGUUAACGCUAAUACCGCAUACGAUCUAAGGAUGAAAGGUAGGGGAGUCGCAAGACCUCAUGCUCCUGGAGCGGCCGAUAUCUGAUUAGCUAGUUGGGGGGUAAGGCCUACCAAGGCAUCGAUCAGUAGCUGGUCUGAGAGGACGACCAGCCACACUGGAACUGAGACACGGUCCAGACUCCUACGGGAGGCAGCAGUGGGGAAUUUUGGACAAAUGGGCGCAAGCCUGAUCCAGCAAUGCCGCGUGAGUGAAGAAGGCCU
rnacentral:rRNA from 1 species